rnacentral:misc_RNA from 1 species
GAUGAAGAACGUAGCAAAAUGCGAUAAGUAAUGUGAAUUGCAGAAUUCAGUGAAUCAUCGAAUCUUUGAACGCACAUUGCGCCCGCUGGUAUUCCGGCGGGCAUGCCUGUUCGAGCGUCAUUUCAACCCUCAAGCCCCCGGGUUUGGUGUUGGGGAUCGGCUCUGCCCUUCUGGGCGGUGCCGCCCCCGAAAUACAUUGGCGGUCUCGCUGCAGCCUCCAUUGCGUAGUAGCUAACACCUCGCAACUGGAACGCGGCGCGGCCAUGCCGUAAAACCCCAACUUCUGAAUGGUGACCUCGGAUCAGGUAGGAAUACCCGCUGAACUUAAGCAUAUCAAUAAGCGGAGGA